CACCAUCACACAACACCCAUGAUAAUGUGCAACUGAGCCUGCGCAGACGGAGAGAAAAAAACACCCCGUUUACUACUAAGAUCUUUACAGUAUCCCGUCUAAGAUCAGCAUAUCCCAGGCAUUAUAUCCUGGCGUCACAUAACCGGGAUACAAGCUUUUUCGGGUUAUUGUAAACGGGAUAUGAUGUUUAUAUGGGUCAGCUCAAAAACAGAAUACUUGAGCAUCCUGAAUAAUAACAGGAUAUUGGUGUGCAUGCAAACGUUGUCACAGAUGCAGAGAAGCAGUGCCUUUGCUUCAGAAUUUAGUUACACGAAUAAAGCUCCUGACUCUGAACAAGGUGAAAGGUAUGAUACAACAGCCUGUCAUACACCUGUGAAUCUUUCAAGGAGUCAUCUUUGAGGAUCGAAUGACGUUGAUCUAAGGAUCAUGCUUCCUUUCUCUUCUAUUUGCAGCAAUUGCAUUUCUGCCUCCCUCCGCUGAAUCCCGGGAGAUGUAUUCAGAGGAGGGCUGUUCAUCAGAGGCAAUGCUCCGUUAGAUGGCCCCGCAGGAAGCCUGAGAAGAGAAAGCUGGAAGCCAUUUUGUUUGGGCGGAAAGAGCAGGUUUUUCUCAACACCCUCAUUAUCAUUAAUCAGAGGAAUCCGGGACGGGGGAGAGAGAGGUUCACAGAAAUCUCUUCUGAUUAAUUGUGAGCAGCGGCUUCCAAAAAACUGCAAUGGAAAUCUCUCAUUAGCAUUCUGCUCCAAAACACAAAAGGAAUCAUUUGAGGAGAGAAAGAAAUAAAGAAAAUAAGAAAUGAAGAUGCAAAAAAAAUAAUGCAGGAAAUAUCUUCUCUCUCUCCAGCUCACCACUAUACCUACCUGGUGGGUAAUUAGGUUUAAAGCAAAGCUUCGAUUGGACAGCAGAAUGUACUGGAACAUCUUAAUAGGUGAUGCAGAGAUCUUGUUAUGUCUCAGGAAAAAAACCUGGAUAAGACUGGUCAAGCUUCAAUUAGCACCUCAUGUUCGUGCCUGCUGGCAUCUGGCUCUGGGCCCUAGGUCCUGGGCCAUGGGCCCCCCAGCCCCUGAGGUAACCGGGGCCAGAGCAGAUGGAGGGACAACACACUGACGACACUACAGCCGGGAGACACUAACAGUCUCUCACAAGGCCACCUCAAUGCUCAGUAAAUGUGUGAACGGACACAUACUGUAUACACUGCCCUACCAAGCAAAACGGCAGUAACUGCUCAUUUGGUCGAAAAUGAGUUAGUCAUUUUUGCUACAUUAAAUACAUGCUUAAUCAUGUGGACAAGUAUCCUGCCUCUACUGUAUUGUGUUUUGGAGAAAAUGGGAGUCAUAUUAGCAGUAAGAGCACUAGGUUACUGUGAAACAAAGGUAAAUAAAAGCUACUUUUCUCA